rnacentral:rRNA from 1 species
GUUGGCCGGAUACACUCGACGUACUCGUAGAACGAGCAGAGCUGCUACAUGACUGACGACGGCGGACGGGUGAGUAUGCAUGAAACUGCCCAGUAGUGGGGGAUAGCCCGGGGAAACCCGGAUUAAUACCGCGUACGCCCUUCGGGGGAAAGCAGGGGAUCUUCGGACCUUGCGCUAUUGGAUGUGCCUAUGUCGGAUUAGCUAGUUGGUGGGGUAAAGGCCUACCAAGGCGACGAUCCGUAGCUGGUCUGAGAGGAUGAUCAGCCACAUCGGGACUGAGACACGGCCCGAACUCCUACGGGAGGCAGCAGUGGGGAAUAUUGGACAAUGGGGGCAACCCUGAUCCAGCCAUGCCGCGUGUGUGAAGAAGGCUUUCGGGUUGUAAAGCACUUUCAGUAAGGAGGAAAACCUUGAUGCUAAUACCCAUGAGGCUUGACGUUACCUACAGAAGAAGCACCGGCUAACUCCGUGCCAGCAGCCGCGGUAAUACGGAGGGUGCAAGCGUUAAUCGGAAUUACUGGGCGUAAAGCGCGCGUAGGUGGUUUGAUAAGCGAGAUGUGAAAGCCCCGGGCUUAACCUGGGAACGGCAUUUCGAACUGUCAGGCUAGAGUAUGGUAGAGGGUAGUGGAAUUUCCUGUGUAGCGGUGAAAUGCGUAGAUAUAGGAGACACCAGUGGCGAAG